AGGACGAACGCUGGCGGCGUGCUUAACACAUGCAAGUCGAGCGGAAAGGCCCUUCGGGGUACUCGAGCGGCGAACGGGUGAGUAACACGUGAGCAACCUGCCCCUAGCUCUGGGAUAGCUCCGGGAAACCGGGAUUAAUACCAGAUACGACCACUUUAGACAUCUUUUGUGGUGGAAAGGAUUCCGGCUAGGGAUGGGCUCGCGGCCUAUCAGCUUGUUGGUGAGGUAACGGCCCACCAAGGCGACGACGGGUAGCCGGCCUGAGAGGGCGACCGGCCACACUGGGACUGAGACACGGCCCAGACUCCUACGGGAGGCAGCAGUGGGGAAUAUUGCGCAAUGGGCGAAAGCCUGACGCAGCGACGCCGCGUGGGGGAUGAAGGCCUUCGGGUUGUAAACUCCUUUCAGCAGGGACGAAGCGAAAGUGACGGUACCUGCAGAAGAAGCGCCGGCUAACUACGCGCCAGCAGCCGC
rnacentral:rRNA from 1 species